GAGCCCAGGUGGUCUAAUGGUAAGGCGCCCGUAAGUACCUCCAGACCUUCAUCGGGGUGAGCUAACAUUUGGGUUGGCAAUAACUUUGAAAGGAGGGUGGAGACUCGGGAGAUCUGGGUUCGAAUCUCAGCCUGGGCAC
rnacentral:tRNA from 1 species